rnacentral:rRNA from 1 species
UACGGAGGGUGCAAGCGUUAUCCGGAUUCACUGGGUUUAAAGGGUUCGUAGGUGGAGUGGUAAGUCAGUGGUGAAAUCUCCAAGCUUAACUUGGAAACUGCCGUUGAUACUAUCAUUCUUGAAUAUCGUGGAGGUAAGCGGAAUAUGUCAUGUAGCGGUGAAAUGCUUAGAUAUGACAUAGAACACCGAUUGCGAAGGCAGCUUGCUACACGAUCAUUGACACUGAGGCACGAAAGCGUGGGGAUCAAACAGG